GGUAUAAGUUUGUUUAUAGCUUAAACCACACCAAUAGUAUUAAGGGCAUGCUCAAACUAGCUUACAUUCUUACUUCCUAGUUCAUGCUUUGCUUCAAGCCCGGCCACUCUAAAGUCCGGUAAUACGCCUAUUUCAUCUCACUUUGCCUUUGGUAGGAUUGUUACCUUAUAUCUUGCUGAGGUAGCAGAGCUUCGCUGUAUAUUUUACUGUAGGUCGUCGCCUGCAGACUUGACAAAUAAUAUGCGCAUAUUCCAACCAAUGGGGAUAUCCGCUAAAAAUAUGACGAUCCAUCGAUUGUGUCCCAUUAACCCCCUAGUGACCAGGCCGUUUUUCAAUUUUCUUACCGUUUGGGACUCAGGCUGUUUUUACAUUUCUGCUGUGUUUGUGUUUAGCUGUAAUUUUCUCUUACUAAUUUACUUUACCCACACAUAUUGUAUACAGUUUUUCUCACCAUUAAUGGGCCUUUCUAAAGAUACCAUUAUUUUCAUCAUAUCAUAUAAUUUACUAUUAAAAAAAUUAUAAAAU